CCGCCCGCUCCGAUUUCUCUCCGGGAGUUCGAAGCCAAGGUCUCCAGAAGCCCUCGGACCUGCAGGAUGGAAAGCAGGCGCAAGCCGCGCACAGAGAACGCAUCUUGAGAGCUGGCAUGCUAGCUCAGUGAUUAGAGCACUGGCUGCUUUUCCAGAGGACUCGUGUUCCAGAUCCCAGCACCCACGACUAGUGGCUCAUAAUCACCUGUAACUGCACCUCCAGGGGAUCCAAUGCUUCUUUCUGGCCUCUUAAGGCAGGUCUAGGUGCCUUCGCUGCCUUCACUGCCUCAAGGAGUCUGGAGGCUCCACACGAAUUGCCUGAUUCGACAUGGUGAUCAGAGCAAGUCCUUCUGGUCUGAGGGUAUUGGGUCUUCAGCAAAGGCCCUGGUCUCCGAUCUGAGCAGCUCAUUAUUCACUGCCAAGUCUCCUCAGUCAAGUCUCCGUUAUUGCUGACUUGGCAACCCAGGACCUCACACCCAGGCUACCCUCAUGAAAGAAGCAUUUAUGUCCGUCUAGUGGCUGAAUAAAAGAGCAAGCUGUGAUGUAGAAUCUCUUUCUUGUUAGACUGCUCGGGGAUUAAACACAUGAACAUGUUUGAAACCCACUUGUCCAACCAAAAUGUUCCCUUUUCUUUCCCCUUUCCAAGUGAAAUGGAUUUGUGUGUGUGUGUGUGUGUGUGUGUGUGUGCGCGUGCUCUCAGCAUUUUACAGCAAUAACAUUCAGUUGCCAUCACUGAUUCAAUGAAGAUCCUUUUUCAGUUGGAGGACCGUAUUCGUCAUCGAAGGUGGCAUUUACAGGCUUGAGACGCUGGAGGAUGUUCCCAGGUUUAAGAUGAAGAUAACAGUUGUGACAAAAACUGACUUAGAACUGAGCGGGGCUGGCGUGUGUUGUUUUAAAGCAAGAAGGGGCUCACAGAUGGCUCAGAGACAGAUUUAGCAAGUCUGUGCUAAUCACACUCACGCAUGGGAAUACCUCCACCCAAACCAGCCACGCUUCCCUGGGCUCCUCUGGGGGUGGGGUGGGGGCUCUUGCUCAGCUAAUAAAUACAAGAAUGAGUAAUAUUUGAAGGCCUGGCAUAUCUAAUGCUUCCUGCUUUAGUUAUAACUGACUGUAUAUUACUCAAACCUCCACGACAAAGAGACAGUUCGUGAGAGGUGGUCCAUGAAGAUAAAAACAAAAUUCAGAAGUUCAGUUUUGAACAGAUAAAUAACUGGAUUCUUGAAUGCUUUACUUCUACAUAGUUUUCAACUUCUCUGUUAGUCUGUCUCAAGCAGAUUAAUUUUUCCAUACUACUGUUAUUUUAAAUAAAACACAGCAUCUAAGAAAAAAAAUCUACCCACAGACCUAAAAAGAAACUUGUCUUUCCUAAAACUGUAUUUAAUUGUUUUUGCUACGUCUGAUAUUUUCUGUUGAAUGUCUACCAAUGGUACAAAAUUAAAAUCCA